rnacentral:rRNA from 1 species
GACUUAAACCUGGGAAUGGCGGUUGAAACUCUNCGGACUAGAAUCUGGCAGAGGGGGGUGGAAUUCCACGUGUAGAACAGUGAAAUGCGUAGAGAUGUGGAGGAACACCGAUGGCGAANAGCAGCCCCCUGGGCUGAGAUUGACGCUCAGGCACGAAAGCGUGGGGAGCAAACAGGAUUAGAUACCCUGGUAGUCCACGCCCUAAACGAUGUCAACUAGGUGUCGGGAGCGCAAGUGCUUGGUACCGCAGCUAACGCGUGAAGUUGACCGCCUGGGGAGUACGGUCGCAAGAUUAAAACUCAAAGGAAUUGACGGGGACCCGCACAAGCGGUGGAUGAUGUGGAUUAAUUCGAUGCAACGCGAACAACCUUACC